UAAUUGUUUUCUUAAAAAGAUUUUAUAUUUGUAAACAGGCCAAUUUGCCCGGCACGUUACAAACAGAUCAAAAACCAAUAAUUAAUAAAAGUCCAACAGCCCAUUAAUUAAAAGUCCUUUUUUUUUACAAUCCAAAACCCAAAAUGAAUACAUGACCCAUAGCCCAAAACUAAUAUUAACCUAGACCAAAAAUAGAGCCCGAUAGGCCCAAUCUAUUGAAAAUUAUUGGAAACCCUAACCCUAGCCCCAUUCGCUCAGCGCCGCAACCGAGCCCCCCAGCACCGUACCACCUCUGUACGCCUUCGUACACCACCCUCGUGCUACCAAGUCACCCCGUACCUGCAAACAAAAACAAACAAAACAACAGCAGGACAACAGCAAAUGGCAGCAAAGAAAAAAUAGCAAGGAAUUUCUUUGUAUUUUUUCUUUUGAUUUCGGCUAUAAAGCCAUUUUCUUUUAUUUGUAACGAUACAGAGAUUGAAGAGAAAAGUCAUCAAAAACCUUAAAAAGGUGAUUUUUAAGUGCCAUAGAUUCUUGCUUUUCAAUCUGUUUUUCUUAGUUUUUCUUGACCCUGCAUAUGAUUUUAACAUAAAAAAAGAAAAGGAGGGUUUACCUUUGCGAAAACGCCAUCGGGGUCCUUCUCCUUCGUCGAAGUCUAAGCUGAGAUGGGAUCUCGGGGUUGAGAUCGGCCUUAAAUCAUGGCUUGAGUAGAGGUAGGAAAGGCCCUCACAUUUAUCCAUCGAUUUUCGUGGUGGAUUAAGGGUCGAACGGCGGUUAAAUGGAGGCAAACAUCUAGGGUUUCGGUUUCCCCUAUUUGCUUUGUUAAAGCAUUCUAGUUUUUGGGCUGAUGUCCCUUUUAAUUGACGGCAUGGAGUGAUGUCGUUUCAGGCUAAGUUCAAUAGCCUUUGAAACGACGCCGUAUGGACCCAUUUGGCACAACCCGCGCGCGUAUGACCCGACCCGGGGAGGAUCCGCGUGUUUCCCAUGAAUGGGAAAUUUGUGUUCUAGGUCCUUCCCCUUUCGCGCGGCAUUCGAAUCGGCCUAUAUUCGCAUUUCUUUCUUGCUUUUAAAUUGCCCUGUAAUUUUGCGUGCGUUUGCACUUUGAUCCGAACUUCAACGUUGCGUUUUAGGGGUCUGGGUUAUUUCCAGAAUUGGUCCCUGCGCAUUCGUAGAUGUUGCAUGCCGAUCCCCUUUGUUAUUUUGCCAGUUGAUUUUGUUUAUAAUUUGUCUCUUUGAUUUUCGAUUUUGUUUUAAUUAAGUCCUUUGUAUUUAUUCAUUUUAUGGCUUAUUAUCAUUUUUAAGACACGUUCAACUUUUUUUUAUCCUUGUUUACCUAUUAUAAGUUAUUUCAAUGGUUUGAUUUCUUUCUUUAUCACUUUGGUAAAUAUUUUUUAUACGUUAUUAUGCAAAUAUUUAUACUUAUUUUUUAUCAUCAGCCUUAUAUUAUUUUUAUGUAUAUGAUUUCUUAAACUUAUCACUUAUAUUUUAUUAUAUAGUCCUACAUAAUGUAUAGUUUUUAAUUAUUAUAUAUAUUUUUAUUGACACCUAUGUUUAACCUAUAUCUACAUAUAUUAUCAAAUUAAUGUAUUUUAUACACGUAGUUUUCUUUAUAUCAAUGUAUAUAAGCACGUUCGUAAAACUAUUAUAAUUUAUUAUAAAAUUAAGUUAAUCCCGUAUGUAUUCCUAUGUUUUUUUUCAAAUGAUUAUUUUCAAAGUUAUUUAUGCAUACAUAUAUUUUAAAUCUAUUUGUAUAUAAUUUAUUACUUUUAAAAUUUUAUUUCACUAUAUAUAUAUAUAUUUUUUUUUUCUUUUUUACACUUUCAUCUAUUGUUAUUUUUAUUAAGUUUUCCAUCUCAUGUAUGUUGUCAAUAAGUUAAUAUAUGUUGUUUUAAAUUAUUUUGUAUCUCAUUUAUUUUAAAUUCCUUCGUACGAAAUAUUCAUUUUAAAACUUACCCAUGUACUUUACACUUAUAGUUUUCCCUAUAUAAGAGUAUGUUUCCAAGUCUAUUACAUAUAGUUUAUAACGAAGUCGGUUCAACCUCGGAUGCAUUACUAAAGUGUGGAUUCUUUACAAAUAAUCAUUUUCAAAUGUAUAUGUUUUUAUAAACCUAGUGUACGCAUUUCUAAAGGUGAUAUUUAACAAUAUAUUUUUGAUAUUCCCGAAUGCCCUAUACAUUUUUUUUUCUUUUUUUUUUUCAUGUAUGUAUUUCAAUAAACAUUUUUCCUUAUGUAUAUUCCUAUGGUAUUUUUACAAAUAACCCUUUCUAAGUUUAUUUAUAUACAUAUAUAUAUACAUGACUUAUAAAUCUAUUAUGUUUUAAAAAUUAUAUUUUUCAUACAUAUUAUUAAUAUUUUCUAUCUUAUACAUAAUCUAAAAUUUUCUUUAUUACGUGUAAAUUGUCAAUGCUAAACCAAUAUUCUUUAAUGUUUGGUAUAUUGCUCGAUCAAAAUAUUCAUUUCACUUCAUAUAUUUUAACAAACAAGUAUAUAUCUUUAAUUUUCUUAUUUUAUCCAUUCAUGUAUUAUACAUUGCGUGUUUUUUAUUAUUUCAAACUAGUUGUGUACCACAUUUUCUUUAAUAUUAUCUUAUUUCGUAUAUCUUGUAUUGAUCAUAUCAUAUUAGGUUUUAUACAUUAUUGUGGCAUACUUUCAUGUAUUGUUUUAUUUUGUUUCGUACGAUGCAUUGUCAUUAUAAUUGUUGUUUUGAUAUUGUUAUGUCAAUUAGUAUCCCAUGCAUGCUUGUGAUCGGAUUAUAUGUUUUAGGUUAGUUACACUUAAAUUUUAGUUCGUUAAUUGAUCGUAUCUCAUACAUAUCCGUUAUCAUAUCAUCAUUUUUCACUUGGUUCACGAAAUGUGGUUUCUUAUAAAAUUCAAAUCUUUAUGAUUAAUCUCGUUUUAUUUCAAAUCGAGUUAAUACGUUUUAAGUUAGUUUUAUAAGUAUUCAUUUAAGAAUUCUUUAAAACGAAGACGAUGUCGAAACCAUUUUUAAGUCGAGUUUUAGAAAAUGGGAAUCGAUUUUUAAAAAACGAAAAUGGGAGUCGCCACCAAUCUUUUUAGGUGUGAUUGGAUCACCUUUAAAACAUUUUGUUUUAAAAAUCAUUAGUUUUGGUCCACGAAAUAAAAGAAUGGGUUCGGGAGUCGGUUACGUACGAGGAAGGAUUAGCACCCUCGUAACGCCCAAAAAUUGGUACCUAAUUGAUUAUCAAGUGUCUUUAAUGUCAAAAAUUUAAAAAAUUUUAAGAUGUAAUCCUCUUUAAAAUACUUUGAUUUUGAAAAUUUGGGUUCACUCGUAUCAAAACAUUGACACUAAGUUAACAUUUUGGAAAUCCCUAUCUCGAAACGACAAAUCGCCACAUCCAAUAAGUUAGGACACAACGCUUUGAAAUUCCAAAACAGUUGCUCGUAUUUUGAAAAUCUUAAAAACUUAGAAGGGUACUUGACUAUUCGAACUCAACGAGAAAAGUUGUAAACCAAUAAGUUAGGGCACUACUUUUCUCGAAGCUUUCAAAUACUAAGCAUUGCCUUUUUUAUUUUUAUAAAACUUUUAAAUAUUGUUUUAAAUGACCUUUUAGAGUAACAAUUCUAUAUUACGAAACAUAGAUAUUCAAAUAGCGUAUAUUAUAAAGUAUUAUAACACUUUAUAUAAAUGCAAUCACUAUAUAGAGGGUAAAAUAGAACAAUAAAAAUAAUCAUGCUAAGCAAAUAGGAAUAUACCAAAAAGAAAACAUAAUAAAUGCACUAAUUAUAUACAAUAUAUCAUAAAUAAAACAUUAAAUAAUAUAAAAAACAUGGUAAAUAUUAAUGUGUAAAAUAUGUAUGAGUAAAAAUAGAUGACAUGCAUAGCAAAUGGAUAAAUAGAAUCUACAUAAGAUAUAAAAUCCAAUAAUUUAAUGUACACAUUAAUGGAUUAAUAAAUAAAAUGAUGCAUAUAAUACAAUAUAUCAAUGUACAUAUAUAAAAAUAUGCAUUUGAAAGUAAAUUAUAAAAGUCUAAGAUAUUACAUAACAUAUGAAAUACAUAACAUAACAAUAAUACAUUAAUGCUAAAGUAAAAACAAAUAUUGUAUAAUAAUAAAAAAAACAUAAGUUUUAAAAAUAUAUGUAUAAUAUAAACAAUUGAUAAAUAGAAUGAGCAUAUAAAAAAUGUGAUAUUUAAUAAUAAAUUUAAAAUAUAAUAUAUAAUAAAAAAUAUAUUUAUAAGAAUAAUAAUUAUAUAAAAUAUAUUAGUUUAGAAAAAUAAUGUAUAAAAUAUCAAAUAUGUAAAAUAAUUUAUAUUUAUAAUGAAAUGAUUAUAUAAUAUAUAUACAUGCAUAGAAAAUAUAUAUUUGAAAAUAAACUAUAUAAAAAGGUUAAAUAUUAUGAUAUAUAAAAUACAUAAUCAAAUCUAUAAAAGAUAGGAAAAAAUAUACAUAUUUGAAAAACGAAGAAAUUAAAAUAAAAAGAGUUGAAAAACUAAGAUAGACGAAGAAUAAAAUAAGAACAAACCACAGAGAGUAAGAACGCAAGAGGGAGAGAAAUUUGAGUGAAUGCUCUUCAAGAAUUCUUAUUGCUUCCCAAAACUCAAGUGUUUUACAAUGAAGGGAGAGGCCUCUAUUUAUAGUUGAGCCUCCCCAAAUCCAACGGUACAGAUCAAUUACAUCAACGGUUAAGAUCAAAGGAUAUCUACAAAUUAAAUCUCCAAGAUUACAAAAUCAUAUCUUCUAAGAUUGUAUAUCAUAUCUAAGAUUGCAAUCAUAUCUAAGAUUGUAUCAUAUCUAAGAUUGCAAUCAUAUUUAAGAUUGUAUCAUAUCUAAGAUUACAUAUCAUUGAAGAUUAUAUUUCCAUAUGAGUCAAGCUUGUAGAUGGACCUUAAAUCUUUUCAAGUAAUGGGCCAUUCCGAUCGGGCCAAAUUAUAUUUGUAAUUCUGGAUUGAACUUGGACUUCGUUUUUUUUGGGGUUUAUUAUUUUAAAUACUGAAAUGGGCCGGACAAAAUUGAGUGUCUACAGACGACAUUCGAUAUUUGGCAAUUCGCGAAAUAGUGCCCUAACGUGUUGGGUUGCAAUUUCGCGUUUGCUCAAAAUAAUCGAAUAUCCCUUCAAAAUUUCACUCAUGCCUUUUAAAAAUUCUUUAAAACGAAGGUAAAGUUUGAUAUUUGGAAAUUCGCGGAAUCGUGCCCUAACGUGCUGGGUUGUGAUUUCUCGUUUGCUCAAAAUAAUCGAAUAUUCCUUUAGGUUUUCACUCAUGUCUUCUAAAAACCUUUUAAAACAAAGGCAAUACUCGGUGUUUGAUAAUUCGAGAAUCAUGCCCUAUCGUGCUGGGUUGUGAUUUCUCGUUUGCUCAAAACAAUCGAAUAUUCCUUUAGGUUUUCACUCAUGUUUAUUAAAAAACUUUCAAAGCGAAUGCGAUAUUCGAUGUUUGGCGAUUUGAGAAUCGAGCCAUAUCGUGCUAGGUUGCGCUUUUUCAUUUGUCCCAAAUAAUCGAACAUCUCUUCGGGAUUUCACACGUAUUUUCUAAGGAAAGGCAAUGGUCAAUGUUUGGAAAUUCGAGGAAUCGUACCCUACUGUGCUGGGUUUCGGUUUUUCGUUGGACUAAAUUAUUGAGCAUCCUUUUGUGAUUUUCAAAUUAUAGAUUUUCAGUCGUCGAAACAAGAAGAUUUUGAUAAUCAACUCGAGUCAUUCAAGUGUUAUUAAAAAGGAACCACAUUUCAAAAACAUUUUUAAUUUUAGACAUAAGGACAAUAUUUAAUCGAUUUGGUACCAAUUUUGGGCGUAGUGAGGGUGCUAACCCUUCCUCAUACGUAACCGACUCCCGAGCCCAUUUUCUAAAAUUUUCGUAGACCAUAAUCAGUGUUUUAGUAAACCGAAAAUGUUUUAUUAAAAUAACCAAAUUCUUAGGUGACCUGAUCACACCAAAACAAAAAGAUCAGUGGCGACUCCAUGUAUUUGUUUUUUCAAAAGUCGAUUCCCCUAUUUUUCACUAAAUUUUAAAAUUUGAAAAAGGGGUGGUUUCGACAGCUUGGCGACUCCACUGGGGACCAAAGAGAGUCUGGCCAUAAAAUUGUUUAUUUGUUGUCUUUUUGUCAAAGAAAUUGAAAAUUUGUUUUAUCAUGAUUGCAUUUGAUUGUAUGAUCGUUUGGGUACGGGUCUUGUAGAAUAAUGUUGCAUUGCAUUGUAUGACCUCUGUGGUCACAUCUCUUAAGUGGGAGUAAGAAACUAUGCUUUCGUGAGGUUUUCACCUCCGCAUGGGCUAGGGGAUUACUUCCGGGAUACAUCCGUACCUAUGAUUUCGUGAGAUUUUCAUCUCCACAUGGUCAUAGGAAAAUGUAUUCCCCUGAACUGAACUCGAUCCGUAUGAGCCUAUAAUGGGUGAGGAUCGAGGAAUCUGCUGGUUCGGGUACCCUUACUCUAGAACCGAGCCACAUAUCGGAGAGACCUAGGAGCUUACCCUAGGUAGAGCCACUCCGAACCCCUAGUGAUCACCCGAACAGGUGUUUUAUUUGUCAUUUAUUUCUCCUGUACUAACGUAUAUUGCUUUUGUUUUGUUGAUGACUGUAUUACAUUACAUCAUCAUAGAAAGGAGGUGUUGAUUCAUAUUCAAUUGCUAAAUAGAAUAAUUUGUCAUAAGAAAACGAAUUUCUUAAUAACGCGGAUUAUAAUACGGUUGUCCGAAUUUGGUCCAAGUGAACACGACAGAAGAAGGCUAACAGUUCAUGGAGGAAAACAAAACUUUACCUAAGGAUUCAAGCUGAUAAAGAUUAUCCAAAAGCCGUAGCGUCCCGACUUUCUUAAAGGAGCUAAUCAACAUUGCGAGGAUAGUAAUUCAUGGCCUGGAUCAAGCAAAAAGGAGCUAGUAGAGGCAUGCAUUGGAAGCUUCCGAGAUUUGACUUUCACGAAGAAAGGGGAUCAGUACCUUCACCUGGAAUACGAAAGCAAGGCCGUAUACGUAAUCCAUUUUAUGAAAAAGAAUUUGUUUUAGAAAAAUUGUUCUAGGGGAAUUGAAUUCAAAAUCAACAUCUUUCUUUCCUUCGCAUUCAUCACAUGCAUUUGCAUUGCAUUGCAUCAUGUACAUUGCAUUGCAUCAUUUGCAUUAGAUUUUCCUAAAAUGACCCUAAUUAGGUAAAAUUAUUUCAGAACCGACAAAAGAUAUGGACCAAAGGUUGGAGAGAAUGGAGCAAAGGCAAAUACAGAUGCAAGAACAAUUGAUCAAAAUUCAACAAGAUAUGCGAGAAAUGCUAGGACUCUAAAGAAAUAUGAUAGGUCAGUUAGCUUAGUUACUGGCCGGAGAAUUUGAAAAAAGGAGUGGCCUAGUGGUCAAUAGUGAGGAUGAUAUUGAAGAGAUCAUCUAUACCCCAAGAUUUACCCCAAUAAGCAUCCCAACCCAACCAGAUAUGCAAGGGGUACCCGUUGUUAUCGGACACCAACAUCAGACGAAUACAUCGGCACUGUUGAGCUUCUCGAUGGGUUCAAGUUUUAACCUAGAAGAUGAUCAAGCCAAGCCAGUUGUUCUAGCAGAAACGAAGGAAAUGGGAGAGUGGACUUUAAAGGCCCCAAAGAAGAAGGAAAAGAGAGCAAGUAGUACGAGUAGGUAUAACAAGGGUUGUUCGAAGCUGAUUAUAGCAAGCCAGCCAAGGAGGGUAACUACCAGCCAUCAGGCCUCCCCAAGGCGAGAACUCGAUCAAAGACCAAACUUAGAAAAACCCCAAUACACGCCUAUUCCAAUCACGUACAGAGAGUUGUACCACGCUCUGUUCGACGCACAUGUUGUAUCCCCUUUUUACAUGAAACUUAUACAACCCCCAUACCCUAAAUGGUACGAUGCAAGCAGCCAAUAUGAAUACCAUGUGGGAAUUACGGGGCAUUCCAUCAAGAACUGUACCGCUUUUAAAAAGAUUAUCGAAAGACUCACUAAUUUGGGUAUCGUAAAAUUCGAUGGUCCCUCUGAUGCAAAAAAUCCGUUACCCAAUCUAUCGGUUAAAUAGGUAAAUCUGAAUUCCAUAAUGGAUAAGGGCAUGAAAUCCAAUGGUUCAUCAAGCUCAGAAUUCUAGUGCAAGACCUGAUAUUGGGGAAUCUAAACAAUAAUGACGAAGGAACCUGGGAAUAGAAUUUCUCGAGUAUCUGCCCUUACGUACUUGGAAAUAUUUUGAACGAUGGGACUGUGGAAGAGAUCUCUUUAUUUUUAGAACUAAUCUAGAGUAAUAUUCAAAACACGCUUGUUGUUUUAAGCCUAGAAGCAACAAGAAUCUUUUUGUGAAAUAGGCUUGUGUCCUAAAUCUUUGUUUCAAUAAAAUGCAUCUUUUUGAGCAAAUAUUCUCUUAUCUCAUACUAUACGAAUAAUCGUUCUUAGAUUCAUUUGUUCUUUAAGCUUUCUUUUAAAUAUUCAUUUAUUUUUCAUUCAUGACCAUACCAUACAAAUAAUCACCCUUAGAAUCAUUUAUUCUUUGGAAUAUGCCUUCGUACCUAUAACAGGUCUCCAGACAUCAAUGACGUGAGUGACGCUGUCACUAAUUUCGAGUCUCUUUUUUGAGCAAGAUAUGUGUCUAGAGGGAUCUUAGAACCUUGAAGAUGACAGAGAUUGUGACUUAUUUCCUGGUUUAUUAAGGACAAUAGAACAAGAUCCUACUUUACGAAGGGUCAAUGGACAUUGUGAACAAGGGGCAAAAAUUGAAACCUGAGUCACCACAGGGACAAAAAUGAAUUGUCUUUGAGUUACUUCAAGAAAUUCAAAGAUGUUUUCACAUGAUCAUGUCGAGAUAUAUUUGAGAUAUUAAGAUCUGUGGACGAUACAAAAUGUCUAUACAGUGCCAGAAGGACACAUGUUAAAGGUUUCAUGGUAGCCACGCUAAUCAUGAGGUUUGGGUAUUGUUGAUCCACCAUGGAAGGGGAUUGCAUUGGUUAAAUUCAUUUCUUCACAGAUUUUCUCAAUAUGAGGCAAGGAUGUUAUCAGGCCAUUCUCAUCAAUUCAUCUUGGCAGUUAUUGAUUACUUCACGAAGGGGGUGAAGGUCGCUUCAUAUGUCAAUAUUACAAGAUCAAUAGUUAUCAAAUUUCAAAAAAAUCGAAGUAAAAAAAUAAAAAUAAAAGAGAAGGAAAAUUGAAAAAGAAAAUAAAAAAGAAGAAAGAAAAGGAGAGGCCAAGGCGAAAACUCGCAAAGGGCGCUUUGAGACCAAAGGGGAUUUGAGCUGAAAACCCGAAAAGGGCGGCACAAUUUUGGAUUAAAAUGGGGCAUACAGUAGUCUUGCUACGCCUAAAUUAACAAUAAAAAAGUAUGCUACGUCUCAGGGCAUCGACAAAGUACCCCGGAUCCCCUAAACACAUAUUGAGCUCAGAAAGGUCCUCAAGAAGUUGGUACAAAGAAGCUCAAGCUGCGAUAUCUGGAGCACCUAGUUUCUAUUUUACUCAUUUUGAAUUUGUUAUCUUUGAUUACCUUAUUCUUUUCAAGAUACGUCCCAAUAAACUUCCUUCUUAUUACAUCGUUAUCUUUGAUUAACUUAUUCAUGUUGAGUUAAUUGCCUUUUAUUGCAUUUGCAAUUUUUGAUUAAUCUAUUUAUUUCGAGCUACCCUCCUAAUCAAUCCCCUUCUUGUCCAUUGUUUUGAUCAUUUUCCAGUAUUUUACAUUGAAAUAAUGAUUAAUGGACUAAUAAUACCUUCGCAAAAGGGGUUCUGCAUAUUACUCUGGAAGCUUCUAAAUAGUAUAAGAACCUGAAACAGGACCAUCAUUUAGAACUCACCAAGCCUAAGGGUUGAAAAUGUUUCUAAAUUGCGACUAUCUCUUUGAAUUUUCUGUCAAAGAUAUCAGUUGAAUGAAGAGGUAAGAUAUUUCAUCAGUGAUACAACCUCGACAAAUGACGAGCAAUGUCAACCUAAGUGUAAAAGGGGGGUCAUUCUCGAGAAAAGAAAAAAUGAUACUCUGCAUUCAUGCAAAUAUCGACCAUAUACAAUGGGUCAUUACACCCAGGGAAUAGUGUAACAGAUCAAAUUGGUUGAAGAUGAAACAAAUCCUAUACCCUGAGUUGCAGUGGGUUGGAUAAGCAAAAAACUCCAUAAAGUUUGAGGGGGCAAGCUUGUCGAGCAGAUGAGAUUGUUUCUUCGAGUUUUCUAUUAAGAAUACCAGCUAAACAAGACGACAGAAUAAUACGUCAAUAAUAAACCUCGGUGAACGAUGAGUAAUAUCAAAUCAAGCAUUAAAAAUAACAUUUUGCAUUCAUACAAAUGUCAUUCAUACACAUCCACCUAGGAGCAUUUGGCUCAAUCGAGUCAUGGCAUCCUAACCAUUAGGCAUGAACUCAUACGCAUUAUACAGGUUAAGUCCUUCAAAGGACAAUGAAGAUUGAGGUGCCUUAAUCCCGUAAGCAGUAGGGUAACAGGCUAAAGCAUAGCAGAUCUGACCUUCAUUGAAGCAGAUCCAAGCAGAUUUGGCGUCUCUGUAUUGUCAGAGGGCAGAUCGAAGAUAACAGAUUUGGCGUCUCUGUAGCGGCGGAGAGCAGAUUGAAGAUAACAGAUUUGGCGUUUCUGUAGCAGAAGAGAGCAGAUCGAAGAUAAAAGAUUUGGCGUCUCUAUAGCGGCGGAGAGCAGAUCGAAGAUAACAGAUUUGGCGUCUCUGUAUUGGCAGGGAGCAGAUCGAAGAUAACAGAUUUGGCAUCUCUGUAGUGGCGGAGAGCAGAUCGAAGAUAACAGAUUUGGUGUCUCUGUAGUGGCGGAGAGUAGAUCAAAGAUAACAGAUUUGGCGUCUCUGUAGCGGCGGAGAGCAGAUCGAAGAUAGCAGAUUUGGCUUAUCUGUAUUAUCAGAGGGCAGAUCGAAGAUAACAGAUUUGGCGUCUCUGUAGCGGCGAAGAGCAGAUCAAAGAUAACAGAUUUGGAUUCUCUGUAGCGGCGGAGAGUAGAUCGAAGAUAACAGAUUUGGCGUCUCUGUAUUGGCAGGGAGCAGAUCGAAGAUAACAGAUUUGGCGUCUCUAUAGCGGUGGAGAGCAGAUCGAAGAUAACAGAUUUGGCGUCUUUGUAGCGAUAGAGAGGAGAUCGAAGAUAGCAGAUUUGACUUAUCUGUAUUAUCAGAGGGCAGAUCGAAGAUAACAGAUUUGGCGUCUCUGUAGCGGCGAAGAGCAGAUCGAAGAUAACAGAUUUGGCGUCUCUGUAUUGGCAGGGAGCAGAUAAAAGAUAACAGAUUUGGCGUCUCUGUAGCGGCGGAGAACAGAUCGAAGAUAACAGAUUUGGCGUCUCUGUAGCGGCGGAGAGCAGAUUGAAGAUAACAGAUUUGGCAUCUUUGUAGCGGCGGAGAGCAGAUCGAAUAUAACAGAUUUGGCGUUUCUGUAGCGACGGAGAGCAGAUCGAAGAUAGCAGAUUUGGCGUCUUUGUAUUGUUAGAGGGCAGAUCGAAGAUAACAGAUUUGGCAUCUCUGUAGCGGCGGAGAGUAGAUCGAAGAUAGCAGAUUUGGCGUCUCUAUAUUGGCAGAGAGCAGAUUGAAGAUAACAGAUUUGGCGUCUCUGUAUUGGCAGGGAGCAGAUCGAAGAUAGCAGAUUUGGCGUCUCUGUAUUGUCAGAGGACAGAUCGAAGAUAGCAGAUUUGGCAUCUCUAUGUUAACAGAGAGUAGAUCGAAGAUGACAGAUUUGGUAUCUCUGUAUUGCAGUGGAGCAAAUCGAAAACGACAAAUCUUAGCUUCCUGAAGUUGCAGUGAAGUAGAUUUAAGCCACGAUCCUAGCUCCCUAAUGUUGUAGUUGAGUAGGCCGAAGAUUGCAGAUCUCGUCUCCAGUGGAGCAGGUCAAUGUCACUCGAAGAAAAAAAGCACCAAAGAAUUCAUGAUUCCACGAAACCGGGCAAAAUUGGCCCUUUUUGAAGUCUUUGCUCUAUUCUCGUUACACGACAAUGAGCAAAGAUGGGCAGUUGUAAACAGGCCAAUUUGCCCGGCCCGUUACAAACAGACCAAAAACCAAUAAUUAAUAAAAGUCCAACAGUCCAUUAAUUAAAAGUCCUUUUUUUUUUUACAAUCCAAAACCCAAAAUGAAUACGUGACCCAUAGCCCAAAACUAAUAUUAACCUAGACCAAAAAUAGAGCCCGAUAGGCCCAAACUAUUGAAAAUUAUUGGAAACCCUAACCCUAGCCCCAUUCGCUCAGCACUGCAACCGAGCCCCUCAGCGCCGCAACUAAGCCCCCCAGUACCGUACCACCCCUGUAUGCCUCCGUACACCACCCUCGUGCUACCACGUCACCCCGUACCUGUAAACAAAAACAAAAAAAAUGACAGUAGGACAACAGCAAAUGGCAGCAAAGAAAAAAUAGCAAGGAAUUUCUUUGUAUUUUUUCCUUUGAUUUCAGCUAUAAAGCCAUUUUCUUUUAUUUGUAACGAUACAGAGAUUGAAGAGAAAGUCAUCAAAAACCUUAAAAAGGUGAUUUUUAAGUGCCAUAGAUUCUUGCUUUUCAAUCUGUUUUUCUUAGUUUUUCUUGACCCUGCAUAUGAUUUUAACAUAAAAAAGAAAAGGAGGGUUUACCUUUGCGAAAAUGCCAUCGGGGUCCUUCUCCUUCGUCGAAGUCUAAGCUGAGAUGGGAUCUCAGGGUUGAGAUCGGCCUUAAAUCAUGGCUUGAGUAGAGGUAGGAAAGGCCCUAACAUUUAUCCAUCGAUUUUCGUGGUGGAUUAAGGGUCGAACGGCGAUUAAAU
rnacentral:lncRNA from 1 species